rnacentral:misc_RNA from 1 species
AAAAGUAGUAGAGUGUUCAACAUUAAAUUAUCGCUCCUCUGUGGUAAUGAGGAAUAAGGAGUUACUGAGUCUUCUAUCACAUUUUGACAAGAAAAAAUGGAUCGAAAAAAUAAUGUAACAGUAACUUAUGGUGGUUUCUGUAAUAUGCUAAGAUGUUAAUAUAGAUGAUGCAUAUGUGAACUAAACCAAAAUAUUCCCCUCACAUUACUUUAAUGGGGAAUACUUUGAGAUCAACUUGUCAACA